AUUGAACGCUGGCGGCAGGCCUAACACAUGCAAGUCGAACGAGUGGCGGACGGGUGAGUAAUGUCUGGGAACCUGCCCGAUGGAGGGGGAUAACUACUGGAACCGGUAGUUACUCCCGCAUACCAUCGGAUGUGCCUAGAUGGGAUUAGCUGGUAGGUGAGGUAACGGCUAACCUAGGCGACGAUCCCUAGCGGGUCAGAGAGGAUGAUCAGCCACACUGGAACUGAGACACGGUCCAGACUCCUACGGGAGGCAGCAGUGGGGAAUAUUGGACAAUGGGCGCAAGCCUGAUCCAGCCAUGCCGCGUGUGUGAAGAAGGCCUUCGGGUUGUAAAGCCCUUUUGUUGGGAAAGCGGUACCCAAAGAAUAAGCACCGGCUAACUUCGUGCCAGCAGCCGCGGUAAUAC
rnacentral:rRNA from 1 species